GGAGCUGUGGCUUAGCUGGUCAAAGUGCCUACCUUGUAAACAGGAGAUCCUGGGCUCAAGUCCCAGCAGCGCCU
rnacentral:tRNA from 1 species